rnacentral:rRNA from 1 species
AUUCGUCACACUAUCAUUAACUGAAUCCAUAGGUUAAUGAGGCGAACCGGGGGAACUGAAACAUCUAAGUACCCCGAGGAAAAGAAAUCAACCGAGAUUCCCCCAGUAGCGGCGAGCGAACGGGGAGCAGCCCAGAGCCUGAAUCAGUGUGUGUGUUAGUGGAAGCGUCUGGAAAGGCGCGCGAUACAGGGUGACAGCCCCGUACACAAAAAUGCACAU